UCUUGUCAAUAAACAUCCCUGCCUUCGUGAACCAGGAAGCGGAAAUGGGUGGAAUGGAUGGAAUAUCAGUAUUGCAUUCAAAAUUGGAAACUACCGUCAGAAGCUGCGCAAUGCAGGCUGCGAAGAAGUGAAGGUGAAUGAAAGGCGGGGAACCCAUGGAAGACCUUUCAAAAAAGCAAGAAGAGCCGAGGUCAAUUUCCUUCCUAACCACCCCGCUGGACAGAGUGAAGACUCCUUGGAAAAGGAUCGAGAUUCAAUAACCAUUGAGAUGGAAAAAAGGAAUCCUAACAUGACUUUUGUCAGUGGAGCUAUGGAUCGCACAUUCUCCUUGCGAAGGAAAGAAAUAGUUGAACAGGAACCCCAUGUUGUAUUGGUGAAAAACAGAUGGCCAGCUCUCUUCCUGGAGUAUCAGGUGAACUGUGAAUUUCACAGAUUAACGAUGAUUAACCUCAAGAGAACAUUCCUGGAAGCUGUUGACACACACACCCCAAGACUCCUGCAGAUGUUUAGAAACAGAAGAGCACAUUUGGGUGAAGAGAUGCAGACACUCCUUGACUCAUUGGAUAAGCAGACAUCGGACAUUUCCAUGCACAGAAAGACCGUGGCACUCCGAGGGCUUCCAUUGUUCCUGAAAGACUACGGAGCAGAGAAGAUUCUAACAACAU